rnacentral:rRNA from 1 species
AGUAUCCCACCUGGGGAGUACGCCGGCAACGGUGAAACUCAAAGGAAUUGACGGGGGCCCGCACAAGCGGAGGAACAUGUGGUUUAAUUCGAUGAUACGCGAGGAACCUUACCCGGGCUUAAAUUGCAGACGAAUUACGAGGAAACUUGUAAGCCGCAAGGCGUCUGUGAAGGUGCUGCAUGGUUGUCGUCAGCUCGUGCCGUGAGGUGUCGGCUUAAGUGCCAUAACGAGCGCAACCCUCGUGGUCAGUUACUAACAGGUUAAGCUGAGGACUCUGGUCAGACUGCCAUCGUAAGAUGUGAGGAAGGUGGGGAUGACGUCAAAUCAGCACGGCCCUUACGUCCGGGGCUACACACGUGUUACAAUGGGAGGUACAGAAGGCUGCUACCCGGCAACGGGAUGCCAAUCCCCAAAACCUCUCUCAGUUCGGACUGGAGUCUGCAACCCGACUCCACGAAGCUGGAUUCGCUAGUAAUCGCGCAUCAGCCACGGCGCGGUGAAUACGUUCCCGGGCCUUGUACACACCGCCCGUCAAGCCAUGAAAGCCGGGGGUACCUGAAGUGCGUAACCGCAAGGAGCGCCCUAGGGUAAAACCGGUAAUUGGGGCUAAGUCGUAACAAGGUAACCGUA